ensembl:lincRNA
CCAGUCUAGGCUAUGUAGCGAGUUUGAAGCAUCCCUGGACUAUAUAGUGUGAUGCUGUCUCAAAAAACAAAACAAAACAACAGCAACAAAGUCACUUCUACAACAUUCUUUUGGUCACAUCAACUGUAGGAAACUGGGAGAGAGGUCACAAAUAUGAAUUCCAGCAGUACAAAGCACUGAAGGCUGUCUUGGAGUCUGCCAGCCACGGUGAAUAAAUAAAUGAGGAGCUGAGCCUGCAUGAUGCCACUGGCUUGGGAUACAAAGGCUUUGGAUUCAAGCACGCUCCAGGUUGACACCCAGAGCUGAUUCAAUUCCUUUCAUGCUGAGGGUGAACACCAGCAAAUGUAAUGAUCUGUGUCUCCAGGUUCUCCUCCUGCUUACAAUUGGCAUCGCUACCACAAUUUCACUGUAAACUUUUGUAGCCUCAAAACUCAACGCUUCUAAAGGUAAAUCCAAGUCUGAACCUUAAGCCAGCAAGAAGCAUUUGACAUUUUGGAUACCACUAAGGACUUAAAAGGAUAAAGCUGAGUAUACUUACAUGCUCAGAGCUGGUAGCACCAGGAACAGUUGAUUAUAAUUUUACUUCCCUGUACUUUUUCAAGGUUAUAGGAAAGGUUUUGGUGAUCCCACCCCUCUUAAAGGGUAAUUGCUAAUGUUAGGAGAAAACCCAUAAAGAUAAUUUUAUGGAACGUAUUUUUACUGCACUGCUGAACACUAGCCAGAUUUUGUCAUGGAAAUAAAUCAGAGAAUAUUGUUUUCUUGGUUUCAGGAAAUUGCUGGGCUCAAUGUUCAGUUUUCAGCCCACAAAUCCAUGACUCACCAACAAACAACUUGGAUAAAUGAGCACUGAGAUCUCAUUUGGUGCUGGCUGCUACCUUACCUUUGACAAUUCUUACUCUACUCUGCUGGGAAUUCCAUUUGCAUUUGAACAGCUCAGCAGUGAAAAUAUUGAGAGGAGAUCAACCCACCUGUGCUGACGGCUGUCUUUCUUGCUUCCUGCUUUGGAACAAUACAGAUCUGACACCCAGGAGCACAGUCCUAACCUAUCUGGCACACAGAUGUGUCCUGAAGCCUCUUUGCCCUGUAGUAACCAGCUGAGCUGUCGAACAUUGAAAGAGAACUAAGAAGAUCUUUUUAUUCGCUAUCAGGCCCUCUUGAGAAGCAUAUUUUGUUACUAAAUAAAAAGGAAGAGACGAACAUUGAGGUUACAUCUCCUGUUUGGAAAGUUCAGGGGAAAGUUGAGUUGACCUAAUCUCUAUCAGCUGCUUUUAGUCAUUAAUUCACUCAACCAGUAACUAUUGGAUACUCAAUGUGUACUAGGCAUUGUUCUGGACACUGGAGAUAAAACAGGACAAAGAUUGUUCUCAUGGAAUCUGUAAUCUGGUGGAAAAAAAGACAGAAAGAAUUCCACAGUGACUGGGCCUUCUGAUGGCAACGGGAUGCCCUGAGGGGGAUGUUGGGGUCUGUGUCCCUGGUAAACUGCAUUUAUUAUUCACUCACAGACGUGUAUAUGUGUGUGUGUGUGUGCACAUGCGUGCAUGCGUGUGUUUUUAGCUGAUUACUAAAACACUAACUUCUACCUAACAAAGUAUUUUUGAUGUCUUGAAAGUGAUUGUCAUAGCCCUGGAGAUCUAUUUGUGUCCUGUUUUCUCAAGUUUGUGUUCUUUGUGUUAGCAAAGAAUAUCCCACCUCACUGCAAGUAUAACAGAAUAAGCUAUUAUCUGUGAUGUUCCAGCCCUGAUGUACCCAGAAGCAAACUUUCAUUUUACCCAAUGUCAGUUUGUUAUCUGAGGACUGGGGUUAUUUUGCUCAAUAUACUGUAGCUAACUUUCAAUAUGUCUUCUUAGGUUUCAAAGCAAAUUUUACUAAAGGUUAGCAAGUUUGGAUGAGACCCAGACUUGGAUAAUAUUGCAAUGCCUGGGAAGCCAUGAGAAUGACUUUCACAUUUCCGUAAAGGAGGGUGAGUUUUAACCUUAACCUCACUCUGCCCCUCAUAUAAAGCAUGUGGUAAAUCAAGCAGAGCAUGUUAGGUGUUGUGUUUCAGUAAUGGAAUGAUAUAUCAAGCCAACAUUUGUUUUUAACCCUGGGUAAAGUGUAUUAAAUCACUAAAAACAAGUGUUCUGCCAUGUGCUUCCUAUA